UGGGGAAUUUUGGACAAUGGGCGAAAGCCUGAUCCAGCAAUGCCGCGUGUGUGAAGAAGGCCUUCGGGUUGUAAAGCACUUUUGUCCGGAAAGAAAUCCUUGGCUCUAAUACAGUCGGGGGAUGACGGUACCGGAAGAAUAAGCACCGGCUAACUACGUGCCAGCGGCCGCGGUAAUACGUAGGGUGCAAGCGUUAAUCGGAAUUACUGGGCGUAAAGCGUGCGCAGGCGGUUUGCUAAGACCGAUGUGAAAUCCCCGGGCUCAACCUGGGAACUGCAUUGGUGACUGGCGGGCUAGAGUAUGGCAGAGGGGGGUAGAAUUCCACGUGUAGCAGUGAAAUGCGUAGAGAUGUGGAGGAAUACCGAUGGCGAAGGCAGCCCCCUGGGCCAAUACUGACGCUCAUGCACGAAAGCGUGGGGAGCAAACAGGAUUAGAUACCCUGGUAGUCCACGCCCUAAACGAUGUCAACUAGUUGUUGGGGAUUCAUUUCCUUAGUAACGUAGCUAACGCGUGAAGUUGACCGCCUGGGGAGUACGGUCGCAAA
rnacentral:rRNA from 1 species